AUGCACGCUAGCGAUAGGCUUAACACAUGCCAGUCGAGGGGCAGCAUGGUCUUAGCUUGCUAAGACUGAUGGCGACCGGCGCACGGGUGCGUAACGCGUAUGCAACUUGCCUCACAGAGGGGGAUAACCCGUCGAAAGACGGACUAAUACCGCGUACACUCUAUUUUGGGCAUCCAAGGUAGAGGAAAUGAAAUUCGCUGUGAGAUAGGCAUGCGUCCCAUUAGCUAGUUGGUGAGGUAACGGCUCACCAAGGCGACGAUGGGUAGGGGAACUGAGAGGUUGAACCCCCACACUGGUACUGAGACACGGACCAGACUCCUACGGGAGGCAGCAGUGGGGAAUAUUGGUCAAUGGGCGAGAGCCUGAACCAGCCAAGUCGCGUGAAGGAUGACUGUCUUAUGGAUUGUAAACUUCUUUUGUAGGGGAAUAAAGAGGGGCACGUGUGCCCCAGUGAAUGUACCCUACGAAUAAGCAUCGGCUAACUCCGUG
rnacentral:rRNA from 1 species